UACGGGGGGAGCAAGCGUUGUUCGGAUUUACUGGGCGUAAAGGGCGCGUAGGCGGCCAACUAAGUCAGACGUGAAAUCCCCAGGCUUAACCUGGGAACUGCGUCUGAUACUGGAUGGCUUGGAUUUGGGAGAGGAAUGCGGAAUUCCAGGUGUAGCGGUGAAAUGCGUAGAUAUCUGGAGGAACACCGGUGGCGAAGGCGGCAUUCUGGACCAAUAUUGACGCUGAGGAGCGAAAGCCAGGGGAGCAAACGGG
rnacentral:rRNA from 1 species